rnacentral:rRNA from 1 species
ACCGAUAGUGAACCAGUACCGUGAGGGAAAGGCGAAAAGAACCCCGGUGAGGGGAGUGAAAAAGAACCUGAAACCGUGUACGUACAAGCAGUGGGAGCCUCUUAAUGGGGUGACUGCGUACCUUUUGUAUAAUGGGUCAGCGACUUAUAUUCUGUAGCAAGGUUAACCGAAUAGGGGAGCCGAAGGGAAACCGAGUCUUAACUGGGCGUUAAGUUGCAGGGUAUAGACCCGAAACCCGGUGAUCUAGCCAUGGGCAGGUUGAAGGUUGGGUAACACUAACUGGAGGACCGAACCGACUAAUGUUGAAAAAUUAGCGGAUGACUUGUGGCUGGGGGUGAAAGGCCAAUCAAACCGGGAGAUAGCUGGUUCUCCCCGAAAGCUAUUUAGGUAGCGCCUCGUGAAUUCAUCUCCGGGGGUAGAGCACUGUUUCGGCAAGGGGGUCAUCCCGACUUACCAACCCGAUGCAAACUGCGAAUACCGGAGAAUGUUAUCACGGGAGACACACGGCGGGUGCUAACGUCCGUCGUGAAGAGGGAAACAACCCAGACCGCCAGCUAAGGUCCCAAAGUCAUGGUUAAGUGGGAAACGAUGUGGGAAGGCCCAGACAGCCAGGAUGUUGGCUUAGAAGCAGCCAUCAUUUAAAGAAAGCGUAAUAGCUCACUGGUCGAGUCGGCCUGCGCGGAAGAUGUAACGGGGCUAAACCAUGCACCGAAGCUGCGGCAGCGACACUAUGUGUUGUUGGGUAGGGGAGCGUUCUGUAAGCCUGUGAAGGUGUACUGUGAGGUAUGCUGGAGGUAUCAGAAGUGCGAAUGCUGACAUAAGUAACGAUAAAGCGGGUGAAAAGCCCGCUCGCCGGAAGACCAAGGGUUCCUGUCCAACGUUAAUCGGGGCAGGGUGAGUCGACCCCUAAGGCGAGGCCGAAAGGCGUAGUCGAUGGGAAACAGGUUAAUAUUCCUGUACUUGGUGUUACUGCGAAGGGGGGACGGAGAAGGCUAUGUUGGCCGGGCGACGGUUGUCCCGGUUUAAGCGUGUAGGCUGGUUUUCCAGGCAAAUCCGGAAAAUCAAGGCUGAGGCGUGAUGACGAGGCACUACGGUGCUGAAGCGACAAAUGCCCUGCUUCCAGGAAAAGCCUCUAAGCAUCAGGUAACAUCAAAUCGUACCCCAAACCGACACAGGUGGUCAGGUAGAGAAUACCAAGGCGCUUGAGAGAACUCGGGUGAAGGAACUAGGCAAAAUGGUGCCGUAACUUCGGGAGAAGGCACGCUGAUAUGUAGGUGAAGCGACUUGCUCGUGGAGCUGAAAUCAGUCGAAGAUACCAGCUGGCUGCAACUGUUUAUUAAAAACACAGCACUGUGCAAACACGAAAGUGGACGUAUACGGUGUGACGCCUGCCCGGUGCCGGAAGGUUAAUUGAUGGGGUUAGCGGUAACGCGAAGCUCUUGAUCGAAGCCCCGGUAAACGGCGGCCGUAACUAUAACGGUCCUAAGGUAGCGAAAUUCCUUGUCGGGUAAGUUCCGACCUGCACGAAUGGCGUAAUGAUGGCCAGGCUGUCUCCACCCGAGACUCAGUGAAAUUGAACUCGCUGUGAAGAUGCAGUGUACCCGCGGCAAGACGGAAAGACCCCGUGAACCUUUACUAUAGCUUGACACUGAACAUUGAGCCUUGAUGUGUAGGAUAGGUGGGAGGCUUUGAAGUGUGGACGCCAGUCUGCAUGGAGCCGACCUUGAAAUACCACCCUUUAAUGUUUGAUGUUCUAACGUGGGCCCCUUACCGGGGUUGCGGACAGUGUCUGGUGGGUAGUUUGACUGGGGCGGUCUCCUCCUAAAGAGUAACGGAGGAGCACGAAGGUUGGCUAAUCCUGGUCGGACAUCAGGAGGUUAGUGCAAUGGCAUAAGCCAGCUUGACUGCGAGCGUGACGGCGCGAGCAGGUGCGAAAGCAGGUCAUAGUGAUCCGGUGGUUCUGAAUGGAAGGGCCAUCGCUCAACGGAUAAAAGGUACUCCGGGGAUAACAGGCUGAUACCGCCCAAGAGUUCAUAUCGACGGCGGUGUUUGGCACCUCGAUGUCGGCUCAUCACAUCCUGGGGCUGAAGUAGGUCCCAAGGGUAUGGCUGUUCGCCAUUUAAAGUGGUACGCGAGCUGGGUUUAGAACGUCGUGAGACAGUUCGGUCCCUAUCUGCCGUGGGCGCUGGAGAACUGAGGGGGGCUGCUCCUAGUACGAGAGGACCGGAGUGGACGCAUCACUGGUGUUCGGGUUGUCAUGCCAAUGGCACUGCCCGGUAGCUAAAUGCGGAAGAGAUAAGUGCUGAAAGCAUCUAAGCACGAAACUUGCCCCGAGAUGAGUUCUCCCUGACUCCUUGAGAGUCCUGAAGGAACGUUGAAGACGACGACGUUGAUAGGCCGGGUGUGUAAGCGCAGCGAUGCGUUGAGCUAACCGGUACUAAUGAACCGUGAGGCUUAACCUU